GCCAGGUGUGGUGGCGCACGCCUUUAAUUCCAGCACUUGAGAGGCAGAGGCAGGUGGAUUUCUGAGUUUGAGGCCAGUCUGGUCUACAGAGUGAGUUCCAGGACAGCCAGGGCUACACAGAGAAACCCUGUCUCGAAAAACAACAACAACAAAACCAAAACAUAAUAAAACAAAACCACCAAAUAUUUUAUUGGUUUUUUGAGACAGGGUUUCUCUGUGUAGCCCUGGCUGUCCUGGAACUCACUCUGUAGACCAGGCUGGCCUCAAACUCAGAAAUCCACCUGC
rnacentral:SRP_RNA from 1 species